CUCGUAGGCGGUUCGUCGCGUCCGGCGUGAAAGUCCAUCGCUUAACGGUGGAUCCGCGCCGGGUACGGGCGGGCUGGAGUGCGGUAGGGGAGACUGGAAUUCCCGGUGUAACGGUGGAAUGUGUAGAUAUCGGGAAGAACACCAAUGGCGAAGGCAGGUCUCUGGGCCGUUACUGACGCUGAGGAGCGAAAGCGUGGGGAGCGAACA
rnacentral:rRNA from 1 species